CACACACACAAUGUAUUCUUAAGCAUUAUCUGCCUCCUUAGCUUUUGUGGAGCAUACCAAUGUGGGUGCUUUUUUAAAAUGGGAGAAUCCCUGAAGACAUUCUGAAUAGCAAAUUCAAAACAGAUAAGGCUGUAUUUGCUGACUUUUUAGGCAACCAUUUGUUCCAGAGGAGCUCACUUUAUUACUUUAUUUCCCUUUGGCAAGAUAAUAAUUAUCUGAAAUGGAAAUAACUGAAUUCCUUUGGUGAAGUGCCAAUGAAAACUAUACCCAGACUUCCAGAAGAACUGAAUACGAUGAAACCCAUUGACUUCUAGUGGACUCGUGGUAUUUGUAAGCACGCUGUGGCAAAGCACCACAAUGUUUCAGGAGGCUUGAGAGGUGCACUUCUAACAUCUCCUUGAUCAGGCAGAGCCCAUGUGCCUCAUUCUACAGACAACAUUUGCCUGCUGGUCCACUAUUUUACACUGUGAAUCAAAUGGGUUUAUAAGCAGGAAGGAAAGGAAGGGAGGGAAAUUAAUUUGAUUCUCCUAAUGUCUGUGAAUUAAGAACUCCAGCUGUGGAAAACUAAUGCAAUGAGCGGUCCUGCCAACAUCAGCUGCCAUGGAAGUGCCUGCUUCCAAGGAUUUGUUUGGAUUUUGGUGAACACACUCUGGACCAAAGAUAGCUUGUUAAUUCUUGUUCAUAAUGAAUUAGAUAAAAAAUACAAAUCCUCAUGGUACAACAUAUUUACG
ensembl:lncRNA